rnacentral:rRNA from 1 species
AGAGUUUGAUCCUGGCUCAGAUUGAACGCUGGCGGCAUGCCUUACACAUGCAAGUCGAACGGCAGCAUGAUCUAGCUUGCUAGAUUGAUGGCGAGUGGCGAACGGGUGAGUAAUACAUCGGAACGUGCCCUGUAGUGGGGGAUAACUAGUCGAAAGAUUAGCUAAUACCGCAUACGACCUGAGGGUGAAAGUGGGGGACCGCAAGGCCUCAUGCUAUAGGAGCGGCCGAUGUCUGAUUAGCUAGUUGGUGAGGUAAAGGCUCACCAAGGCGACGAUCAGUAGCUGGUCUGAGAGGACGAUCAGCCACACUGGGACUGAGACACGGCCCAGACUCCUACGGGAGGCAGCAGUGGGGAAUUUUGGACAAUGGGCGAAAGCCUGAUCCAGCAAUGCCGCGUGUGUGAAGAAGGCCUUCGGGUUGUAAAGCACUUUUGUCCGGAAAGAAAUGGCUCUGGUUAAUACCUGGGGUCGAUGACGGUACCGGAAGAAUAAGGACCGGCUAACUACGUGCCAGCAGCCGCGGUAAUACGUAGGGUCCAAGCGUUAAUCGGAAUUACUGGGCGUAAAGCGUACGCAGGCGGUUGUGCAAGACCGAUGUGAAAUCCCCGAGCUUAACUUGGGAAUUGCAUUGGUGACUGCACGGCUAGAGUGUGUCAGAGGGGGGUAGAAUUCCACGUGUAGCAGUGAAAUGCGUAGAGAUGUGGAGGAAUACCGAUGGCGAAGGCAGCCCCCUGGGAUAACACUGACGCUCAUGCACGAAAGCGUGGGGAGCAAACAGGAUUAGAUACCCUGGUAGUCCACGCCCUAAACGAUGUCAACUAGUUGUUGGGGAUUAAUUUCCUUAGUAACGCAGCUAACGCGUGAAGUUGACCGCCUGGGGAGUACGGUCGCAAGAUUAAAACUCAAAGGAAUUGACGGGG